AGAGUUUGAUCAUGGCUCAGAUUGAACGCUGGCGGCAGGCUUAACACAUGCAAGUCGAGCGGGGAAGGGUAGCUUGCUACUUUACCUAGCGGCGGACGGGUGAGUAAUGCUUAGGAAUCUGCCUAUUAGUGGGGGACAACAUUUCGAAAGGAAUGCUAAUACCGCAUACGUCCUACGGGAGAAAGCAGGGGACCUUCGGGCCUUGCGCUAAUAGAUGAGCCUAAGUCGGAUUAGCUAGUUGGUGGGGUAAAGGCCUACCAAGGCGACGAUCUGUAGCGGGUCUGAGAGGAUGAUCCGCCACACUGGGACUGAGACACGGCCCAGACUCCUACGGGAGGCAGCAGUGGGGAAUAUUGGACAAUGGGGGGAACCCUGAUCCAGCCAUGCCGCGUGUGUGAAGAAGGCCUUUUGGUUGUAAAGCACUUUAAGCGAGGAGGAGGCUACUUAGAUUAAUACUCUGAGAUAGUGGACGUUACUCGCAGAAUAAGCACCGGCUAACUCUGUGCCAGCAGCCGCGGUAAUACAGAGGGUGCGAGCGUUAAUCGGAUUUACUGGGCGUAAAGCGUGCGUAGGCGGCUUUUUAAGUCGGAUGUGAAAUCCCUGAGCUUAACUUAGGAAUUGCAUUCGAUACUGGGAAGCUAGAGUAUGGGAGAGGAUGGUAGAAUUCCAGGUGUAGCGGUGAAAUGCGUAGAGAUCUGGAGGAAUACCGAUGGCGAAGGCAGCCAUCUGGGCCUAAUACUGACGCUGAGGUACGAAAGCC
rnacentral:rRNA from 1 species